CGGAGGUUCGGACUUCAGAUCAUAUAGUAAUAAUAUUAUGAUCAUAAAUCGUAAAGAAAACCCUGAAAAAUUUAAUAAUUAUUAAUUUCCGCCUUUUCGCAUGUUAUAAUAUUGUUGUAUUUUACAGUGGGUUUUGCGAAACGUUUUUCCAAGUUUCCCACCCGCGACCAGCUGACCGCCGUGCCAAGCGCCAACUCACGUCUCACGCACCGUCACGCAGUAGUGUUUGCCGUUUUCGCCGACCCAACGUAUUUUGUUGUCGCUGCUCAAAACUUUGACCAUACUAGGACAUAAUAUCGUCGACCCUGUUCGUGCUGUAUAGCUUUUCAAAAUGCGCUCAUUCACAGUCAUCAUAAUGGUGGUGAUACCUAUUUGAUUUGUCUUGAUAUAACCAUAGAAUAGAUGAAUAGAAAAAAUAGAUUCUUUGUUAUUGAGGUUGAGUUUGGAUAUCCGAAAUGUUCGGGCAUACAUUAUCAUACCGACCAUGGUCGGACACAGCCUUUAAAAUACCUCACUUAACGAAAGGUUCAUUGCUCAGAUUGGACAAAUAGGUUGCCCAAAAGUUGUUGGAAAAAGAAUUGUAGAAAACCAAGAAAUCGACUUUACACUUCUUUACAGAUAACGACAAUGAAGAACAAGAUGUUAAAGAGACAAUUUUAAAAAGCAAUCUAAAACAUACAAUCAAAGCCAUUAAGAAUUUAUGACUUAACAAUAAGUUGUGUGGUAAAUAUAUUAAUUUUAUAUUGUAAUAUAUAGGUAAUGGAUAGACAUUAUCAAUCUGCUCUUGAAGAAACUGCAACAGACGCUGGAGAGUUAUCAAAACAAGAAAUAUUGAAAAAAUCAUAUAAUCGUAGUGUAAAUUAUUCAUCUUCAGAUUCUAAAGAUAAGCAGAAACGUCAUCGUUUGAGGAGGAGUAGUAACUAGUAACAAAAGUGAUAAAUAGAACCAACAAAAUUAACUAUAUUAUUAUAAAAAAAACAAGAAAAAGUGGUAUCUAACUGUGAUCAUCGAUCCAGUAAAAUACCAUCUAUUAGAAAUAAAGAUGAACCUUCAAUUCUUAAUGUCAGACUUCAAGACCAAUUAGAACUACUUGAGAUGAAAUAAUCAAAAUAUGUCUUAAUAUAAAUCUACUUGGGACAUGCCCACCCAUAUCAAAUAUUGAUGAUGAUCCUACUUAAACAACAAGAUUUACGCCAGCGUAAAAGUAUAACAAGUGGGAUAGUUAUCGUGGUUCAGGAGCUACACCUAAUCCUGGAAAAGAAAAUGUUCUAUUAUGGGCUUGUGAAACUGAUAGAGAUGAAUGGGACGAAGCCCAAAACCGAUUAGAUAGGUGGUGGUAUAAUUGAGAUGAAGGAGUUGAUGAAACUAAAAAUCCAUUUAGUGAUGUCAGCGAAACAUAUGCCAACAAAUAAAACAGUUGAUGGAAUUAAAUUUGUUGUUGAUACUAGUUAUUAUAAAAUUAAAAUUUAUAAUCUUCAAAUUGGUGUGAAUGCAUUGCAAAUUUAUCCUUUCAGACAAGCAAAUACUAAUCAAGGAAGUGGUAUAGCUGGUCGUAUAGAAGUCCCAGGCAAUAUUUCCGAUUCUACACCAAAAAGAAAUACAUAGACGAUUUACUAAUCAGUAUAGUUCCUGAAAUUCUAAGAACCAAUCUAGAGCUAACACCGUGUUAUUACUGAAAUCAUUGGGAAUCCAAGACUUACUCCAGUUUCAUUUAAUGGACCCUCCAGCCACCUCCACAAGACAACAUUUCAAAUUCUUUAUAUCAGUUGUGGGUACUGGGAGCACUGGACAAUACAGGAAAAUCAAGAAUCAAGGAUCAGAAACUUUCACAAAACCAAAAAAAUUAAUAUAAAUAAUAUGAUAGGCAAAAACAAAUGUAAACUUAACAAUAUUAGCCAUACUACAAAAUUUUUAAAAUUUAGUUUGUAUUCAAUUUAGUUAUACUAUAGGCAAUAAAAAUAACUUAUUAUUAUGUACAAUGAUAUAAUAAUCAAAAAUGUAUAUAUUCCAUGGUUAAAUACAUGUCAUUUAUGUUUCUAAUUUAAUUACUUUGCAAUGUAUUAAUAUCUAAAUUAUACCACACUUCAUACCAUUUAUUAAACUGCAUUAUGAAUUACUAUGAACAAUUGUAAUA